rnacentral:rRNA from 1 species
GACGGGGCCGCACAAGCGGUGGAGCAUGUGGUUAAUUCGACGCAACGCGAAGAACCUUACCAGGGCUUGACAUCCCCUGACCGCGUAUGAAAGUACGUUUUCACCCUCGGGUGACAGGGAGACAGGUGGUGCAUGGUUGUCGUCAGCUCGUGUCGUGAGAUGUUGGGUUAAGUCCCGCAACGAGCGCAACCCCUACGUUUAGUUGCUAACAGGUGAAGCUGAGCACUCUAGACGAACUGCCGUUGACAAAACGGAGGAAGGUGGGAUGACGUCAAAUCAUCAUGCCCCUUAUGUUCUGGGCUACACACGUGCUACAAUGGCCGGUACAGACGGAGGCGAAGCCGCGAGGCGGAGCAAAUCCGAAAAAGCCGGUCUCAGUUCGGAUUGCAGGCUGCAAUUCGCCUGCAUGAAGUCGGAAUCGCUAGUAAUCGCAGGUCAGCAUACUGCGGUGAAUACGUUCCCGGGCCUU